UUUUGCAGAGGAUGCAGAGAAGCUACAAUAACUUGUGCUGAGGGAUGAAUUAAGUGCUCCAGAACGUGCAGGAGGAUGACAUCAAAAGGAGUGAAAAAGGAGAGGGAGUUCACAUCGCAAUCUUAUUCUUAGUAAUCUCUUUCAACUUUCUUUUUGAGCAUUGUUGAUCUUUCCUGAUUCAUCCUUUGCCCUUUUAAUUUCUUGCAAGGUGCGACCAGACCAGCCUUUGGAAUUCUUUGACUGCGGAUGGAUUAUUGCUUUGAGCAGAGGACCAAAUCCAUUGAUAGCAACAUUGAUGAAGAGACAAAUAAAGACGGAAACGAAGCCACGAAGUUCUUAUUCUCUUUAUAUAGUACUGGAUAGCCCUGCUGGUCUCAGUGUUGGAGCAAAUGGUGCUAUCUCAAUAAAUGUGUUGUUGGUUGGUUGUAUCCGAGAAUGGAAGCUUGCAACAUGCCCUUCUUUUUGGCUUUUCAAUUAGUUUCAUGUCAACCUCAGCUCUUGCACUUGAUUGUUGAAUGUGAUGCUCGAUCUCUUCUGAAAGGUGAUGCACCAGUGUCCUCAAAGUCAAACGUCAUGCAAGAAUGGCUAGCUUUGAGUGGAAACGUUAAAGCAAAGACUGGAACAAAUAAUGACUUGGUGCACGUAAUCGAGGAAAGUACCUAAGUGGAAGACAAACUGAAUAAUUAUAAUUAAGAUGGGCACCUUAUUGGAGAACCUUCUCACCAACCCAUUGUAAGUGCGGUUCUCUAUAUUUGCAAAGUGGUUCUCAUUUCUUUAAUGAACGACAUCAUGAUGAUGAAGCUUUUAAGUGGGCACUGCAUGUGUUUAUGAAAGGGAUGAACACAUGCACGAAUCAUUGCGGAAUUGACUUCAGAUAGUACAGGGGGAAGGAAGAAACCGAGCCAAUUAAUUGGAGGAAAAGACGGCAAUGCUGAUGAUGGUGUUCUCAGAAAAAAUGAAUUGGAAAAAGUAAGUCACUAUCUUACCUUUGAUUAUUUUCCUUCAUGGUGCUGCACAACCGCCGACCACUGCCGGCGAUCCGGUGGGGUUGGUCGCGUUUGUUCUGCUUAGAGAGGCACAGAGGUCGACAGCACUAACUGCUGCUGCUUGUUCUUUAUUUGUAUUUUUUAUUUUAAUUAAUGCUAAGUCUCGAGGUUGCCAGUAGGGUUAGAGUUCAUGUAUCUGCCUGUUAGAUCUUGUGUUCGAUCUUAAAUU